GAUGAACGCUAGCGGGAGGCCUAACACAUGCAAGCCGAGCGGUAUUGUUUCUUCGGAAAUGAGAGAGCGGCGUACGGGUGCGGAACACGUGUGCAACCUGCCUUUAUCUGGGGGAUAGCCUUUCGAAAGGAAGAUUAAUACUCCAUAAUAUAUUGAUUGGCAUCAAUUAAUAUUGAAAGCUCCGGCGGAUAGAGAUGGGCACGCGCAAGAUUAGCUAGUUGGUGAGGUAACGGCUCACCAAGGCGAUGAUCUUUAGGGGGCCUGAGAGGGUGAUCCCCCACACUGGUACUGAGACACGGACCAGACUCCUACGGGAGGCAGCAGUGAGGAAUGUUGGUCAAUGGGUGCAAGCCUGAACCAGCCAUCCCGCGUGAAGGACGACUGCCCUAUGGGUUGUAAACUUCUUUUGUAUAGGGAUAAACCUACCCUCGUGAGGGUAGCUGAAGGUACUAUACGAAUAAGCACCGGCUAACUCCGUGCCAGCAGCCGCGGUAAUACGGAGGGUGCAAGCGUUAUCCGGAUUUAUUGGGUUUAAAGAGUCCGUAGGCGGACUUAUAAGUCAGUGGUGAAAGCCUGUCGCUUAACGAUAGAACUGCCAUUGAUACUGUAAGUCUUGAGUAUAUUUGAGGUAGCUGGAAUAAGUAGUGUAGCGGUGAAAUGCAUAGAUAUUACUUAGAACACCAAUUGCGAAGGCAGGUUACCAAGAUAUAACUGACGCUGAGGGACGAAAGCGUGGGGAGCGAACAGGAUUAGAUACCCUGGUAGUCCACGCCGUAAACGAUGCUAACUCGUUUUUGGGCUUUAGGGUUCAGAGACCAAGCGAAAGUGAUAAGUUAGCCACCUGGGGAGUACGCUCGCAAGAGUGAAACUCAAAGGAAUCGACGGGGGCCCGCACAAGCGGUGGAUUAUGUGGUUUAAUUCGAUGAUACGCGAGGAACCUUACCAAGACUUAAAUGGGAAUUGACAGCUUUAGAAAUAGAGCUUUCUUCGGACAAUUUUCAAGGUGCUGCAUGGUUGUCGUCAGCUCGUGCCGUGAGGUGUUAGGUUAAGUCCUGCAACGAGCGCAACCCCUGUCACUAGUUGCCAUCAUUCAGUUGGGGACUCUAGUGAGACUGCCUACGCAAGUAGAGAGGAAGGUGGGGAUGACGUCAAAUCAUCACGGCCCUUACGUCUUGGGCCACACACGUAAUACAAUGGCCGGCACAGAGGGCAGCUACACAGCGAUGUGAUGCAAAUCUCGAAAGCCGGUCUCAGUUCGGAUUGGAGUCUGCAACUCGACUCUAUGAAGCUGGAAUCGCUAGUAAUCGCGCAUCAGCCAUGGCGCGGUGAAUACGUUCCCGGGCCU
rnacentral:rRNA from 1 species